rnacentral:pre_miRNA from 1 species
AACUGAUAUUCUUUACAGGUGACCUCGAAAUGCGUGAAACUCGGGGGGCUUGCAACUCGGAAUGCGUGAAAAUUCGAUUGUGAAUUAAAUUUUGGGGGUAAAGAAUCGCGUCGAGUCAAUUUUAUCCAUUUCGACUGCCGAGAACAGUUUACUCGACGCGAUUCUUUACCCCCAAAAUUUAAUUCACAAUCGAAUUUUCACGCAUUCCGAGUUGCAAGCACCCCGAGUUUCACGCAUUUCGAGGUCACCUGUAAAGAAUAUCAGUU